AGCAAAUACAACAACAACAAAAAAAAAAAUCUUUCUUACACUUUGUUCGUCUUCUUUCUCUACGGCCCGAGAGAGCCACCUUCGAUCAGGGUUCAUCGUUUCUCUUAUCAGUCCGUCACCAAAAUUGCCUGCCCGAGAGAAGAGAACCAUCUAUCUCCACUCUCCGAUUAGGGUUUCAUCGAUUCGACUCUCACUCCGUCACCAAAAUUGUCAGCCCCACAGAGCAAUGCAUCUCCGAUCAGGUAUGAUUCACCUCUGGUUCAAUCACCUCUGGUUCAAUCACAGGUAUGAUUCAUCGAUUCUCCUGAAGAACGAAGAUGAUACCGCACGGUUUUAUUGUUUUGUUUCCAUCGGGACUUGAUGGUACAUCUCACGAAGACGCACACAGUAGUCUCGUCUCUACUAUGGUCAUUCUUAAAAUUCAUCCCACUGGAUUGUAAUUUCUCGUUUCAGCUUUCAUAUAACAACCACGAUACUAUUGCAGGUGUUCCAUGACUCUAAUGACCAAACUGAUACCGGUGUAUAGACGUAACGGUACCAUGCUGCUGAAUGGUUAAGGGUUUUCUCAUGGGUGAGGAGCAUGAUUACGUGCAUUUUCAAUUUAAAUGGGAAGCUUUUGGGAGAUUUAGUUCUUAGCUACUAAAGAACGUGUCUUGGUAAAUGUUGAUAGUUAUCAGUUUGACUUAAAUACUAUUGUGGGAGCUUCAAGAAUUGCUGGUAAGCAGGUCAAUGUGCUGCUGCGUGUCAAUCCUCAGGUGCUUCCGUAUGUAGCUAGCUACUUACUGCGAACAGGAACUUAAAGUUUGGCAUCAAGAACGAGAAGUAUAAUGGUUUAUGGAUGAGGGAGGUGAAGGCACAUCCCAAAGAGCUAAAGCUUGUUGGAGCUCAUUGCCAUCUAGGCUCCACCAUUACAAAGAACUCAAAGUUCGGUAUCAAGAACGAGUAGCUAUCAUGGUUUCUGGAUUAGGCAGCUGAAGACACAUCCCAAAGUAUUAAAGCUUGUUGGAGGUUAUUGCCAUCUAAGCUCUUCCAUUACAAAGGUUGUUUGCAAAGGGACUUUCUAUAGCACAUCGCACAAAGACGCACACACUCUGUGAUUGAUAGUGAGUUUGACUUAAAUAAUAUUGUGGAAGCUUCAAGAUUUAUUGGUAAGCAUGUCAAUGUACACUGAUGCGCGUUGAUCCUCAGUUUUUAGGUGCAUUCAUAUGUUAUCUACUGGGAACAAGAACUCAAAGUUUGGCAUCAAGAACUAGAAGCUAUGAUGGUUUCUGGAUGAGGGAGUGAUGACGAGUUUCUGUUGUGAACUUGUGAUAUACAGGUGGGAUCACAUAUUGUCAGGUUGUUUUUAAAAUUCACUCCACUGGAUUGUAAAUUCCCGUUUGAGCUUUCCGGUUUUACUGAACAUUCUCUCCACAUGGGCUACUCCAACAAUGUCUUCGAUGGCUGUAAUGACCAAACUGAUAUCGGUGUAUAGACGUAGCAAUAACAUGCUGCUGAAUGGUUAAGGGUUUUUUCAUCAGCGAGGAACAUGGCUAGGUUAGUCUAACUCUUACUUACCACUUUUCAUGAUUACAACUUGGUCCCCAUCAAUUAGCAAAUAUUUCAUAUGUGCUCUAGUCAGAUUUUCCAUUGUCAUGGAGAGGAACAUAAUGUCAAACAGACUUAACGGAUCAUUACUUGGUAAGUGGUAACUCAAUAUUGAAACCAAUAAUGUAUCUCUUUUCAAAUAAUAAUACACAGAGAUGGAUUCGAAGACACCAGUGGAAACUGAAAACGUAACCACAGUGUUGGAUUCAUCUUCUAUUUCCAAAGUCAGGAUCUUCUUCCUUAAGAGUUUUUUCUUCCCCGGGAGAUUUCCGACAAGUGUUUUAAUUUAUGCUGGAAACUUAAGAAACAAUAGUUGCUGUUCGAUCGUAGAGUAGAAUAUAUAUUUAAGUCAGUGCCGUGCCUAGAAACUCGAGGCCUUUAGUCACAGCUCUGAUUUUUAGUUAUAUAUAUGGAUUAGACUAUUAGAGCUUGUUGAAAUUAAUUACUCAAUUAGCUUCUACUUGGUUUUUUAGAGAGUUUUUUAUAUGGUACAAAUUUUAUCAAAAU